UAAAAUCUCAUAUUGUCAAAUUGAUGACAAAUAUUACUUUCACAGAGUGAAGGAUUAUUUUGAGAAUCCUUAUUAUCUUCAUUAUCACAAUGAUGACGGUUAUAAUUUCAUCUGUUGCCACGUCCACAUCCAUUGAUACCUUCACGGUAAUAAUUUUGUCUUCUUUCAGACUUAUCACGUACUGCUAUCACAUUUUCUAUAGAGAAUGAAUAUGGAGCAAAUUCAAUGGGACGAUUUUUAAUUCUUUGCCC
rnacentral:lncRNA from 1 species